AGAGUUUGAUCAUGGCUCAGAAUGAACGUUGGCGGCGCGGAUUAGGCAUGCAAGUCGAGCGAGAAUUCCCCGCAAGGGGAAGGACAGCGGCGAAAGGGAGAGCAACACGUAGUUACCUACCCUCAGGACUGGGAUAGCUCCGGGAAACCGGAGGUAAUACCAGAUGACGUCUUCGGACCAAAGGUGUGAUUCCGCCUGAAGAGGGGACUGCGUCCUAUUAGCUAGUUGGUGAGGUAACGGCUCACCAAGGCAUUGAUGGGUACGGGGUGUGAGAGCAUGCCCCCGCUCACUGGGACUGAGACACUGCCCAGACACCUACGGGUGGCUGCAGUCGAGGAUCUUCGGCAAUGGGCGCAAGCCUGACCGAGCGACGCCGCGUGCGGGAUGAAGGCCUUCGGGUUGUAAACCGCCGUCGGAGUGGAGGAAAUUCCAGGGGGUUCUCCCCCUGGAUUGACUAAUACUCAGAGGAAGGACGGGCUAAGUUCGUGCCAGCAGCCGCGGUAAGACGAACCGUCCAAACGUUAUUCGGAAUCACUGGGCUUAAAGGGUGCGUAGGCGGCUCAGAAAGUAGGGUGUGAAAGCCCUCGGCUCAACCGAGGAAUUGCGCCCUAAACUACUGGGCUUGAGGAAGACAGAGGUAAGCGGAACUUAGGGUGGAGCGGUGAAAUGCGUUGAUAUCCUAAGGAACACCAGGAGCGAAAGCGGCUUACUGGGUCUUUUCUGACGCUGAGGCACGAAAGCUAGGGGAGCGAACGGGAUUAGAUACCCCGGUAGUCCUAGCCGUAAACGAUGAGCACUGGAUUGGAGGGUCCCCCAUAACCUUCCA
rnacentral:rRNA from 1 species